CAUUUCUUCUGCACGGGUCUCUGUUUUACUUUCGACUUCAACUCCGGCGGACGCUUCUCCACUUCCAUCCAUUUCGAUUUCAGGUUUCAGUAUGGCUUCGACAUCAACUAACGGUCCCAUGUACAAGAUUGACCCUGCUCAUCAUUUUCAGUCUAUAGUAAGUAGUUUAUCACAUUUAGUAAGCAGGUUGACUAUGUUGUCGGAUCAAAAUAAGACUGUCAAGAUCCUUGGGUGAAUGUUGAUUACAUUUACUCUCCAUUCAAUAUCCAUGGCAAUCAUUGGAUUCUAUUAUGCUUGGACUUGGUACGUUGUCAAGUUAAGGUAUGGGAUUCGCUUCCGUCGCUGACGAGUGCCGAAGAUAUGAGAAGCAUAUUAGAGCCAAUUCAAGAGAUGGUGCCAAAUUUGCUCGAUGCUACUGGAUUCUUUGUUAGGAGAGGCGGAUCAUCAACACACAAGGAACCUUGGCCACUUGUCAUUGUCGACUCCAUUCCACUUCAACGCAACAAUAGUGAUUGUGGUGUAUUUACAAUUAAGUAUUUCGAAUAUGAAGCUUCUGGUUUAGAUGUAGCUACAUUAUGUCAAGAAAACAUGUCAUAUUUUAGAAAACAAUUGGCAUUUCAAUUAUGGACCAACAA